rnacentral:lncRNA from 10 species
UAUGCUAAUAUUUGUUUCUAGGUCCCUUAUUAUAUACUAAAUCAUGGCUCUACAAAAAGCACAAGAUGAACUCAAAGUAGAUUUAAUUAUAUACUUUGCUACAUUUUUGGCACUUUAAGAAUACACUUGAUAGGAUGCCUUCAGCUCUAAUUCACCUGGUCAUAUGAAUAUUAGAAAGUUUUCAGAAUACUCUACUUUUGAAAAGAUAUACAAAUACUUGCAAAUUACACAUCCAACAAAGGUCUAAUAUCUAGAAUCUAUAAGGAAUGUAAACAAUUAAAUUAGCAAAAAAACAAACAAUCUAUUAAAAAAUGGCCAAAAGCUGAUCAUGAGGUCAGGAGAUCAAGACAAUCCUGGCUAACAUGGUGAAACCUCGUCUCUACUAAAAAUACAAAAAAUUAGCCAGGCGUGGUGGCACAUGCUUGUAGUCCCAGCUACUCAGGAGGCUGAGGCAGGAGAAUCCCUUCAACCCAGGAGGCAGAGGUUGCAGUGAGCCGAGAUUGCACUACUGCACUUGAGCCUGGGCGACAGAGUGAGACUUGCUAAAAAAAAAAAAAAUUUCAAAUAUAACUUUAUCAUUUAUUUCCAGUAAUUAUUUUUACAACUUUCCUGUCUUCUGUUAUCUGUUGCCAUCUGAGUUUACAGGGUGCCAUAACUGGAGCUUAAUCCCUUUUUACAGCCAACAUGAUUCUCAGUCACAUAAAAUUGGUUCAGUCUGUUGACUACUCCUUCAGCAGCUGCAUAUCACCUCAUUCUUUCUACUGUAUAACACAAGAGGGGACAAGAUAAGGUAUUCCAUGGUAUCCACUAUCCAGGCACAUAAGUAAGACUGACUUUGUUGUUGCAUCAUACUCACAUUCUAAGCACAACUGUACUUGAGGUACUUGUGUUCAACCUUGCCUUUUAUUUCUUUAUUUCCAGAGAUCAGCUUUAUUUAAUUCGGGUGCAGCCAACAGAACACAAAACCCCAAAAUCAGGCCUAAAAAUCACUCUCCCACUGUUGUCUGUAAAGUCAUUGUUAAAAUAAGGCUGAUCUCAAAAUAUAAAAGUAUUCAAUACUAGCUAGUCCCCAAAUUCUUCUUUUAUUUGGUCAUAUUUUGGAUCCAACAGGGUGAAUAGUGAGAAACAAUGUACAUGAUGGAAAAAAAGUAAUGAAAAUGCCAACCUAAGAGGUACAUGGGGACUUGAGAGACCAGAGAGGUCAGUGCCAGGCUGAGACACAGAAAAAAUGGCCCAAUAGUCCUUUAUGACCAUGGAAGGCCAGGUCCAUCAACCAGCUGGUCCUCUUUUUGGGGAUCCUUAUCAACCUCUGUCUCUAAACAGCUUCUGAAUAGUAAAUGCACACAAUUUGUUGAAGUGAAAGAACACUGGAACAGAAACAAGAAUACCUGAGAUGGAGACUCACCUCUUACCAUCAAUCUAGUGUUGACUUUGGGUAAACUACUUAAUCUCUUUAGCAUCUGCAUCCUCACUUGUAAAAUGAGAGGUUUAAAUUACAGUUUCCUUCCAG